GUGAAUUCUCAGGGCGGGGUGAAAGUCCCCACCGGCGGUGAUGGCCGAGAGGCCGAGCCCGCGAGCGCUUCCCCGCUCUCCCGGCGGGGAAGGUCAGCAGAUCCGGUGCGAUCCCGGAGCCGACGGUCACAGUCCGGAUGGAAGAGAAUGUCG
rnacentral:ncRNA from 2 species